rnacentral:rRNA from 1 species
UACAGAGGGUGCGAGCGUUAAUCGGAAUUACUGGGCGUAAAGCGCGCGUAGGCGGUUCGUUAAGUCGGAUGUGAAAUCCCCGAGCUCAACUUGGGAAUUGCAUUCGAUACUGGCGAACUAGAGUAUGGGAGAGGAAGGUAGAAUUCCAGGUGUAGCGGUGAAAUGCGUAGAGAUCUGGAGGAAUACCGAUGGCGAAGGCAGCCUUCUGGCCUAAUACUGACGCUGAGGUGCGAAAGCAUGGGGAGCAAACAGG